AUAAGGGUGAUGAAAGAAAUCAUUCGGAUUCCCAAUGAUAUACAUGAUUACUACAACCAGCUACUUCUGACUUAU